rfam:Clostridium homopropionicum DSM 5847 CLHOM_contig000031, whole genome shotgun sequence.
UGGGUAGUAUCCACAGGGAGCUGCACCGGUUUGUUAUAUUCAAAUAUAAUUUUAUUUUAAUCUGCUCAUAUCACAUGGAAUGAGACUGCUAU